rnacentral:lncRNA from 1 species
UGCAACCUUUAUAGCAGUUGGGGUUGCUAUGCGACACUUAAUUUACAAAUGUUAAUCAAGAGCCACAUCAAAGAAUGUAUCGGGAGUUCCCGUUGUGGCUCAGUGGUUAACGAAUCCGACUAGGAACCACGAGGUUGCGGGUUCGGUCCCCGCCCUUGCUCAGCGGGUUAACGAUCCGGCGUUGCNACAUGGAAGUUCCCGUCCUAGGGGUCAAAUCCGAGCUAGAGCUGCAGGCUGAGUUAUAGCAAUGCCAGAUCCAAGCUGCAUCUGCCACCUACACCACAGCUCAAGG